AUUGAACGCUGGCGGCAGGCUUAACACAUGCAAGUCGAACGAGUGGCGGACGGGUGAGUAAUGCUUGGGAAUCUCGCUUAUGGAGGGGGAUAACUACGGGAAACUGUAGCUAAUACCGCGUACCAUAGGAUGAGCCCAAGUGGGAUUAGGUAGUUGGUGAGGUAAAGGCUCACCAAGCAGACGAUCCCUAGCUGGUCUGAGAGGAUGACCAGCCACAGUGGGACGGAGACACGGUCCAUACUCCUACGGGAGGCAGCAGUGGGGAAUAUUGCGAAAUGGGGGCAACCUGACGAAGCCAUGCCGCGUGAAUGAAGAAGGCCUUCGGGUUGUAAAGUUCUUUCGGUAGCGAGGCGUUAACUACAGAAGAAGCACCGGCUAACUCCGUGCCAGCCGCCGCGGUAAUAC
rnacentral:rRNA from 1 species